rnacentral:SRP_RNA from 1 species
GCCCAGGCACAGUGGCUCACGCCUGUAAUCCCAGCACUUUGGGAGGCUGAGGUGGGUGGAUCACCUGAGGUCAGGAGUUCGAGACCAGCCUGGCCAACAUGGUGAANUUCACCAUGUUGGCCAGGCUGGUCUCGAACUCCUGACCUCAGGUGAUCCACCCACCUCAG